UAUGUCCCUCCCUCCCCACCCUUCCCCUCUCAUUAUCUCUUGAAAGAAGCACGUCCAUGAUCCCUAAAACUUGCUAACUACACAACAACAAAGAGAAUUACAAAGGAGUUUGGAAAAGUUGCAAUGAUUAUAUGAGAAGAUAAUCUCAUCUCAUCUACCAAACCAAACCAGGCUAAACAUGCAUGUGCAAUUUAUUUGGUGAUAGUGAAUAUUCUCUUUUCUACAUAAAUUCUUUUUUUGAUCGGUUGCUUUUCUAUGGAAACUUAAGGAAUGUAUAUGUUUACCUAUCACUCCAAGUAUUUUGUUGAUAGUGGUUGUUAACUUUUCUAUGGAAACUUGGGGAAUGUGUAUGUUUCCCCAACAACACCUCAAUGUGAAAACUGAUAUAUUUGUC